UACAGAGACUGCAAGCGUUAUUCGGAUUCACUGGGCGUAAAGAGCGUGUAGGCGGCCAGAUAGGUCCGUUGUGAAAACUGGAGGCUUAACCUCCAGCUGUCGAUGGAAACCAUCUGGCUAGAGUCCGGAAGAGGAGAGUGGAAUUCCUGGUGUAGCGGUGAAAUGCGCAGAUAUCAGGAAGAACACCCGUGGCGAAGGCGGCUCUCUGGGACGGUACUGACGCUGAGACGCGAAAGCGUGGGGAGCGAACAGG
rnacentral:rRNA from 1 species